GCUGGGCAUGGUGGCACAUGCCUGUAAUCCCAGUGGCUCGUGAGGCUGAGGCAGGAGGAUCGCAAAUUCAAAGCCAGCCUCAGCAACUUAGUGAGGUCCUAAGCAACUCAGUGAGACCCUGUCUCUA
rnacentral:sRNA from 1 species